GGAGAAGAGGCUGCGGCUCAGUGGUAGAGCAUCUGCUUUGCAUGCAAAAGGUCCUGUGUUCAAUUCCGAAUCUCUCCA